GACGAAGGGGGCUAGCGUUGUUCGGAAUUACUGGGCGUAAAGCGCGUGUAGGUGGUUGUCCAAGUUGGAUGUGAAAGCCUUGAGCUCAACUCAAGAAAUGCAUUCAGGACUGGGCGACUAGAGGACCGGAGAGGAUAGUGGAAUUCCCAGUGUAGUGGUGAAAUUCGUAGAUAUUGGGAAGAACACCGGUGGCGAAGGCGGCUAUCUGGACCGUAACUGACGCUGAGGCGCGAAAGCGUGGGGAGCAAACAGG
rnacentral:rRNA from 1 species